AUGCUGCGCUGGCGCCUCGGAAAUACACUGGGAGCUAAGGCUGGCGGAGCUCCGGCGUCGUGCGGGCGUCGGCGGGGCCUCCAGGCGUGGUCCCUCGCUCGGGCCUCCCAGCCGCCCCUUCAGAAGGAGAAGGAGAGGCUGGGAAGGGGGAAGCGCCCAAGUCACAGGCGUGAGCCUUACCAGGGAGGCGUGUGUGCAGGGCCCGUCCUGGGCCGCGUCCCUGAGGCCACAGGCCCUGAGCGUGAGGCUGGGCUGUGGCAGAGAAUCGAAGGGUGGGGGCUUCGGGCUCCUGGUUCCUCCGGCUCCGGCCUCCUCUGCCCACAGCCCUGCCUCCUCCCAGAACUCAGCUCCUGGGAACCUGGCCCUGGCUCAACCGAUGGGCUUAAGAUGGGCUGUGGGGGGGCCGGCUCCCCUGGGGUGCCGCGGCCUGGAAGGCCGGCAGAGCCCUGUCACUUGCUAAUUUGGGCUCCUGGGCUCCUACGAUGCCAGGGCAGUGGGGCUGACAGGUGUUGCCACCACCACCGAGGGGACGAGGGGACGAGGGGACGGGUUCUGGCUCCACAACCUGCAGCCUUACAAGGCUUAGCUCCUCUGUCCAGACUCUUCCUUCCUUGCCCCGGGGCCUCCGGUGGGACGGGAGGCUGGAAACCCCUCUGGCUUUUCUCCCGUCACCUCACCUACCCGAACUGCUCCCUCUUCCUGGAUUGGCCCCUCCCUCCCCACAUCCACCAAGUCCCGGUUCUCGGUUCUCGUCUCUCCUCUGGCAAUUGUUCUGUCUGUUUUGCAUUGAGCUGUGAAGUCUUGGGGGAUCUGAGAGAGCACAGACCACCGGGGCCCCGGCCAAGGCUGCCUCAGAAUCUCCCUGAACUUGAGAAGACACUAAGGGGAGGCCAUCAGCUUUGCCUCCCGCCCCCAGGGUGCGGGGUCCCCCGUGGAGGCCAGGCUCAGCCUCAGGUCGCCGGGCACCAUCACCGUAAAGCCAGUUUCCAGAUGAGGAAGCCCAGGUUCAGAGAGGACAUUGCCGGCGGGUCAGCCGCAGCGACCCUCCGCUGA
rnacentral:lncRNA from 1 species